rnacentral:lncRNA from 1 species
UCCAUAUUUAUAGGCUCUAACAUCUCAUUUUACAAAUCAAAACAAAGUAUGAAUAUUACACAUAUGAAAUAAAUAUCAAAAUAUAUAGAUGUUUUCUUUACUUAUAGUUUGUGUGUCAGAGAGAGAGAGAGAGAGAGAGAGAGAGGGAAUAAUAAUCCAUCCUCCUCCUCGGUCUUCUUGUCCAUGUGUUGGUGGCUUCUUCGCCAAGGCCGGCCAUUGAUGAUGCAGUGGUCAGUCCACCUCAAAGCGCUCGAGGCCAUGUGUGGCUCGUCACUCACCACGAGAGGUCUCCCCCCCUCGCAGAUGGCCGAUGCCCCACCCUCUGUUUCUUCCUUCCAUCUUAUUUGCACGUACCAUUCACUGCAUGCCUCCACAUAACUCACACAAGACAACCUGUUGGUAUACCACCCAGUACGAGCUGCUCCCCUCACCUACCACCCCUUCUGCCUCUGCUCCGAGACAACAGCACGAGCAGAUGUGCCUCACGAGGCCUUCGCCUUUCCGUUCUUCCUCCCCCCCUGCUGCUGUUCAACAUGCCAACACCAUCGAAGAACACAGUAAGGGAUUUAGAAAGAAGAAAUCUGGAAAUGAAAACUUGGUUUGAGUAAACCAUGCAGAGGGCACAUGCGAAUGACUUGUGGGGAGAAGCUAAGCUUGAGAAAGAUUUAAAGGUAAGCAAGCAUUUCAUCUUUAUAUUUCAUAGUACAGGAAGUACCUUCUCUUUAUUCCCCAAACUCCAGUGAGAUUGAACGAUUUGAGAGUGUUCCCAUGGCAUUGAACUCCUCUGAAUCUGAUACCUGCAGAAAAUUUUGUGCAGCGAGGUUAUAAUGAAGCUCCAGAAUAGUACUCAUCUCUAUAAACUAGUCUUUGCCAUUGGGCAAAGAUACCAUUAACAAGGAAAACCAAGUUAACAUGUUCAAUCAGUUGCUCAACUAUCAAAAAAGUUGACAAAGACUUUUA